rnacentral:misc_RNA from 1 species
GUAACUUGCAUCCAGUUUAAUCCUGUUGAUGAUAGAUACUUCAUUAGUGGGUCCCUAGAUGCAAGGGUUCGCAUAUGGAGCAUUCCUGAUCAUCAAGUUGUCGAUUGGAAUGAUCUGCAUGAGAUGGUCACUGCUGCUUGCUAUACUCCAGAUGGCCAGGGUGCACUUGUUGGCUCAUACAAGGGAANNNNNNNGUACAGGACAUCUGAGAAUAAGUUGCAACAGAAAUGUCAAAUCAAUCUGCAGAAUAAGAAG